UACGUAGGGGGCAAGCGUUGUCCGGAUUUAUUGGGCGUAAAGAGCGUGUAGGCGGCCAAGCAGGUCAGCUGUGAAAACUCGAGGCUCAACCUCGAGACGUCGGUUGAAACCGCUUGGCUAGAGUCCGGAAGAGGAGAGUGGAAUUCCCGGUGUAGCGGUGAAAUGCGCAGAUAUCGGGAAGAACACCCGUGGCGAAGGCGGCUCUCUGGAACGGUACUGACGCUGAGACGCGAAAGCGUGGGGAGCGAACAGG
rnacentral:rRNA from 1 species